rnacentral:rRNA from 1 species
AUUGAACGCUGGCGGCAGGCCUAACACAUGCAAGUCGAACGGUAACAGGAAACAGCUUGCUGUUUCGCUGACGAGUGGCGGACGGGUGAGUAAUGUCUGGGAAACUGCCUGAUGGAGGGGGAUAACUACUGGAAACGGUAGCUAAUACCGCAUAACGUCGCAAGACCAAAGAGGGGGACCUUCGGGCCUCUUGCCAUCGGAUGUGCCCAGAUGGGAUUAGCUUGUUGGUGGGGUAACGGCUCACCAAGGCGACGAUCCCUAGCUGGUCUGAGAGGAUGACCAGCCACACUGGAACUGAGACACGGGCCAGACUCCUACGGGAGGCAGCAGUGGGGAAUAUUGCACAAUGGGCGCAAGCCUGAUGCAGCCAUGCCGCGUGUAUGAAGAAGGCCUUCGGGUUGUAAAGUACUUUCAGCGGGGAGGAAGGGAGUAAAGUUAAUACCUUUACUCAUUGACGUUACCCGCAGAAGAAGCACCGGCUAACUCCGUGCCAGCCGCCGGGUAA